AAUCGUGGAUAGACUUGAGAAUUAUAUUGUGAGAGAAUUCGGUACAGUGGAGUUUCGAAGUUAUUUCACAAGCAAUUCUGAAAAUCCCUAUUCCACCAUCGGCUGUGUAGAGAAACUGAAGGCAUUUCAGUAAAGUUCUUGCGGGACUGUAGAAUUGUUUGGGAUUUUGGUUCUUUGGACUGUAGCAAGAGGCGGUCAAGGGCCAGCAAUUCGCAGAAUUUCCCGGUGCAAACAAUGAUUCUUUGGUUAAAUGAAAUUUUGUAUAUUUUAAUGAAAGGGAGUUUUGUAGAAAUUGUGAAAGAAGAGAAACAAAUUGCAGGUGGUAGCUUGGAGAAGAGAGAAAGGAAGAAGAGAAGAAAGGAAUAAUAGAAAGAAAGGGAGAUAAAGGUGAGAAUUAUACUAUUAUUCUUUAUCUUUUAUGUCACCUAAACUUAGUAACAUGUCUAACAAUGAUAACCUAAUUGUAUGGUAGGAUUAUUUAUAGAUUUAUGCAGAAAGAAUGCUUUGGGUUUGUGUAUCAAAGGAGGAGGCUUCGUGGUGUAAGUUUUAAAGAGAUCAACAAUCAAAGAGUGGAAGAUACUUCGGGAUCAUGUUGCAGAAAUCAGUGAGGCCUUGAAGGACCAUGCUUAACAUCAAAAUUACGGUCGUUUUCGGAUCUAGGGUAUGUGAAUUUUGCUUCCAAUGUUUGCAUGCUUGCAGUAGAAUAUGAUGAGGCCUCCUUUAGUCAACCAUUACAGAUGAUGCUGGAAUUGUUACUAGUGUUUGAUUUUGCUUUUUGUAAAUGAAGUUGCAUGCACUUCUACUGACUUACUGGAGCUGAAGCUUUUAAUCUCUUAUUGCUUUAUCAAUCGGUUACUUGAUUAAAUUUAGGGGCUUGAAAUUAGGCUUUUGGAUUUCACUUGAAUAUUGAGAAUCGGAUUGGUUAAUUAAUUUGAUUUGAGCUCUAAAUAUAAUGAGCCAGUCUUUUUUUUUAA